UACGUAGGGGGCAAGCGUUGUCCGGAUUUAUUGGGCGUAAAGAGCGUGUAGGCGGUUUGGUAGGUCCGCUGUGAAAACUCAAGGCUCAACCUCGAGACGCCGGUGGAAACCAUCAGACUAGAGUCCGGAAGAGGAGAGUGGAAUUCCUGGUGUAGCGGUGAAAUGCGCAGAUAUCAGGAAGAACACCCGUGGCUAAGGCGGCUCUCUAGUACGGUACUGACGCUGAGACGCGAAAGCGUGGGGAGCGAACAGG
rnacentral:rRNA from 1 species